AUGAGUAUAAUGCAAAACAAAAAUUGACCUUCUUGGCUCAAUCCUCUAUCAAGAAGCAUAUGAAAAUCAUAAAAUUGAAAUAAUCUGAUUAUCUAUGAAAUACCUUAGUGGUCUUCGUUGUUGGAGUCUCAUGGUUCAGAUUAUGCCCACAAUUUUUAUUUGAGUUUCUUAACAGGUCAGAGGUGAAACAAUAAUAUUUUCAAGUUAAUCAAGUGUGCAGUCUUUAUACAGUUAAAAUGUACUGUUGGCAGAGUGUUCUAAUUGAUGUUUCCAAAUAUAAGUUAUGCAUGAUCUGGGUGUCCCAUUUCAAAUGUGUUUGUUUGUGUCUCUCAUUCUAAUUUUUGUUCCUCUUGAUGCAAAUAUGUACUUGCUAUUCUAUAAAACAUAGUAUGGUGUUGUUUAGAUCCUGAGCCUGGCUCAUUAGAGACCUUGAAACAUGCAUGAAGAGGAGAGUUGUGCUCCCUGCCAGACAUAUGCAUAGUCCAUUGACAGAUCAUCUAUUCUUUUACUACAACAUAAAUCCCGAAACCUAACUGUUCUUUUUCGAUUGACUGAAUGUAAUGAAGACGAGCUGAAAAGGUUGAAGAUCGAUAGUUCAUACUACAACAUAAAUCCCGAGACCUGCUGUUCUUUUGGAUUGGGUAUAUUUAAUGAACACCCGUUGAAAAGGUAGAAGAUCUCAGUUUGUUGCUUCCACGGUUCCACCUCAGGAUCCCAGUUAUAAAUUUGCUUCUUUUGUGUGCUUGUGCAAGUGCCAUUCUUUUAAUUUUUCUUGGGGUGUCAGACCUGUCGCACUUUCUCAUGCCUUCCAAUGAAUUCCUUAACAUUAGGAUUUGUCCAUGCAAAAAAAAACAUAUCUAAAGGACAACUGGAGAUAUUUAAUGUGGAGAUUUUAGAAGUACACAAUUACUCCUUAGGAUUUUGUAGAUUAAGCCAGAAAGAGAUCUCUUCCGUGUCUUCACCAUAUGUUUGCGCAUUGGCUUACGAAGUGGACAACCAUUACCAUGAUCAAUCAUGUACGUCAGAGUUUGCCUCGCUAUGCUUGCAUGAUUAACUCACCAAAGUAUACUUGGUAACGUUAAUGCCAGGACUUACCUUUCCGAUGCUAUUGGUAUAUUGGCAUGUAUAUGGUCUGUUGUCACCAACUGAUGUUUAAGGUCGCCCAAGCGGUUCUAAGUCUCUCAGCAAGCUACCGGUCUCAAGUCGCAUACAAAUAUUUUUGGAGAUUGCUUUGCGUGAAAGGUAAUCUGCAGCUUGGCAUGCCAUAUGGUGAUCUAUGUGUAUGUUCUUUACCUAUUUAAUAUAUCGAUGAUGUGGUGUAUAGGCCACAGGGAUAUUUGUGCCUUUUUGAGCUUAUCUGUGAGAAAUCAAAUGGAGUUGAGAUGACCACUAUAUAAGAGUUGCGUGUUAUGAAUCUACAUAUAGGAUUGCGCAACCAGAACUGGUGUUUUCUUUCAUGUAAUGGUUGUACUUGGAAGUUAAUUCUAGAAGAUACUGUUUAGAGGUAUUCUGAGGACCAUGCUCACACUAAACCACGAGCCUACUUAAUAGGAUUUUAAGUUUACUUCAGAUAAUUAUUAUUGCAGCAGGAGAAAGCUUUGGUUUGGAUGUCUACUCAAACUAAACCAUGAGGUGGUUUUAUUUUGUGAUAUAUUACCUCUGUACAGAAUUAUAAGACGGUACAGUGUGGUAAAACGUCUUAUAAAUCGGUACAGAGGGAGUAGGCCAAGACUGAAAUCAGUAAAAGUUUUAAUGUUCCGAUGGCUGAAACCCAUAUGUGGUGUCUAUCGAGCCUGCAGAAAUCUCUAUUUUGGUUUGGAGGAAUUAGUUCAUGGGUGUCACCAUUUCAUAGUAGUAAUUCUUAGAGAAGACGUCCCUUUCCAAGUCCUUCGGUUUUACCAAUAAGGCUACAUUAUUUUUGCUGCCUUUGCAUCAUCUGGAUCAGAUGCCGGCGAAACAUGGUUCAGGGUUAUUACAUGCUUUUCUGUUUGCAUUGUGUAAUACUCACCUAUUGUUUGCUAAAGCCGGGCAAGGAAGUGGCGACAAGGGGGUCGAGUCACCUGGGAUUGAUGCAGCUCUUCUUUCAGGAUCAGACACUCCACCUGCUGUUCUGGUUUGUAUGGAAACGAUUAUUAGUUGAACUCUUUCAACCCGGUGACUUAUAAUGUUCAAUUGAGGAAGCCUCUGCCAUAGAAUCUACGGGCAGUGAGAAGGCCGGGGAUAUAGUUGAUGUCAUCUGACCAAUUUUCCAAAAAAUGCAGUGCCUCGGGCGUUGAUUUAUUGUUGCCUCACAUUUCGUAGAUGGUUGUUGGUCGCCGGCAUUGAAGAAAAUUUGUUUGACAAUGCACAAAGAGGUCGACCGUAUGUUUCAUGCCGAGACAUUAUGGUUGUUGGACUACAUUCAUUUUGAUUGUAUCCUGUUUGCCU